UGAUGGAAUCGGAGUCAUGGUGGUGGCAUU
rnacentral:piRNA from 1 species